rnacentral:rRNA from 1 species
GAUGAACGCUAGCGGCAGGCUUAACACAUGCAAGUCGAGGGGUAGAAGGAGCUUGCUCCUUUGAGACCGGCGCACGGGUGCGUAACGCGUAUGCAAUCUACCUUUUGCAGAGGGAUAGCCCAGAGAAAUUUGGAUUAAUACCUCAUAGUAUGUGAGGAUGGCAUCAUUUUCACAUUAAAGUCACAACGGCAAAAGAUGAGCAUGCGUCCCCAUUAGCUAGUUGGUAAGGUAACGGCUUACCAAGGCUACGAUGGGUAGGGGUCCUGAGAGGGAGAUCCCCCACACUGGUACUGAGACACGGACCAGACUCUACGGGAGGCAGCAGUGAGGAAUAUUGGACAAUGGCGCAAGCCUGAU